rnacentral:lncRNA from 1 species
CCAAAUCGAACCAUAUUUUAUGGAUUAGAGCCGGAUUAUAUAUGGACCCGAUCCGAUCUGAAUGAUCUGUUGGGUCAACAAAUUUGAUCAUGGAUCCGAUCUAAUUCGAUCUUCUAUUGGGUUAGGUCUGGACCCAAUAUCAAAAUUCGAUCAAAGAACCAGAUCGGAUCGGGGUCACUCAUGAUCCAGUCCAACCCAAUCCAUUUGUAUCCCUAUGAAUGAUGACUACCAAGAUGUCACCUCAAUGAAGAUAGCCAUGAUGACUAUCGAGUGCUUCAUCAUCUCG